rnacentral:lncRNA from 1 species
UUAGGCUUAGCUGGUGCCUGAACUGUAAGAUUUAAAUAAUUUCGUGGCGGAAGAUUUAAAUAUAUUUGUGAACGCACGACCGACAGCUUGGCCUGGUUCUCCUUUGUUGAGGCCUACAAUGCCAAUAUGAAAACAUCACGAUGACAGGAAGUGGAGGGGGAAGAUGAAGCUACAAAUACAAUUGAACCUGCCUUGAUCCCAAUAACGAACCUUUAAAUAUGUUCCUCCAGUUAAAAGAUCACCACAGAUAUAGUAGCACCAAAACUUAGCAAGCCAAUCGGUCUACAAAAAACUGGCCUCUUGUAGAACAAUAGUAACAUGAUUGCUGCCAUAAUAAUUUGCAUCUGUUUUUUGAACACAAAAUGAUGACCAUAGAUAGAUCAUAGAUAAAUUAAAAGGUUUGAGGAAGGUAAUUAAUGUAAAUGAGAACAUGAUUGAAAAGUAUUAUACGAACAAAAUAAACUCCAUUGCCAUUCACCAUUGCCACCUCCUACCUCCAUGUUCUUCCAUGCCUAACAUUUGGACAAAUUGGAAGGAAUGCUACAGGAAACGAAACUUUGCUAUAACCAUAAGAAACCAGAACGAUCAGUAAAAUAGGUUAGAUAAAAGCACUAAACGAGUAGAACACUUUAGCUUCAGUUUUGCUCGUCUAGGUUAAAAUAGUACAAUAUUGUAAAUCCCUCUCCAGAUUACUAAUUUUUAUGUUCACAAAUAUAGCCAUUCCUAAUAGAAAAUGGAAAAUCCAUUAGCACUAAUUGAAGCAACUAACACAAACAUACUAUGUUAGUUAAGGUAUUACAAGCUGUCACUGACCCUCCUGGCGAAUUCACAUACAUAAUGAACAGUGCGUAUGACAGACAGUGUCUCUA